rnacentral:rRNA from 7 species
AAAACGACUCUCGGCAACGGAUAUCUCGGCUCUCGCAUCGAUGAAGAACGUAGCGAAAUGCGAUACUUGGUGUGAAUUGCAGAAUCCCGUGAACCAUCGAGUCUUUGAACGCAAGUGGCGCCCGAAGCCUUCCGGCCGAGGGCACGCCUGCCUGGGUGUCAUGC